rnacentral:rRNA from 1 species
CCUACGGGCGGCAGCAGUGGGGAAUAUUGGACAAUGGGGGGAACCCUGAUCCAGCCAUGCCGCGUGUGUGAAGAAGGCCCUCGGGUUGUAAAGCACUUUCAGUGAGGAAGAACGCCUGGUGGUUAAUACCCAUCAGGAAAGACAUCACUCACAGAAGAAGCACCGGCUAACUCCGUGCCAGCAGCCGCGGUAAUACGGAGGGUACGAGCGUUAAUCGGAAUUACUGGGCGUAAAGCGCGCGUAGGUGGCUUGAUAAGCCGGUUGUGAAAGCCCCGGGCUCAACCUGGGAACGGCAUCCGGAACUGUCAAGCUAGAGUGCAGGAGAGGAAGGUAGAAUUCCCGGUGUAGCGGUGAAAUGCGUAGAGAUCGGGAGGAAUACCAGUGGCGAAGGCGGCCUUCUGGACUGACACUGACACUGAGGUGCGAAAGCGUGGGUAGCAAACAGGAUUAGAUACCCCGGUAGUC